AAACCAACAGGGAUUGCCCCAGUAACGGCGAGUGAAGCGGCAUCAGCUCAAAUUUGAAAUCUGGCGUCUUCGGCGUCCGAGUUGUAAUUUGUAGAGAGUGUCUCGGGUGGAGCACCGGUCCAAGUCCCUUGGAACAGGAUAUCAUAGAGGGUGAGAAUCCCGUAUCCGGCCGGCCCCCUCCCCCGCUGUGAGACCUCUUCGACGAGUCGAGUUGUUUGGGAAUGCAGCUCUAAAUUGGAGGUAAAUUCCUUCUAAAGCUAAAUACUGGCCAGAGACCGAUAGCGCACAAGUAGAGUGAUCGAAAGAUGAAAAGCACUUUGAAAAGAGAGUCAAACAGUACGUGAAAUUGUUGAAAGGGAAGCGUAUGCGGCCAGACUUGUCCCCAGUUGCUCAGCCCGUCUUUUGGCGGGUGUACUCUUCUGGGGCCAGGCCAGCAUCGGUUUGGGCGGUCGGAUAAAGACGUUAGGAAUGUGGCCCCUCUCGGGGGGUGUUAUAGCCUGGCGUGCAAUGCGAUCAGCCCGGACCGAGGCCCGCGUUCUGCUAGGAUGCUGGCGUAAUGGCCGUAUACGGC
rnacentral:rRNA from 1 species